CCUACGUGUGGCAGCAGUAGGGAAUCUUCCACAAUGGGCGAAAGCCUGAUGGAGCAACGCCGCGUGGGUGAAGAAGGUCUUCGGAUCGUAAAACCCUGUUGUUAGAGAAGAAAGUGCGUGAGAGUAACUGUUCACGUUUCGACGGUAUCUAACCAGACAGCCACGGCUAACUCCGUGCCAGCAGCCGCGGUAAUACGUAGGUGGCAAGCGUUAUCCGGAUUUAUUGGGCGUAAAGGGAACGCAGGCGGUCUUUUAAGUCUGAUGGGAAAGCCUUCGGCUUAACCGGAGUAGUGCAUGGGAAACUGGGAGACUUGAGUGCAGAAGAGGAGAGUGGAACUCCAUGUGUAGCGGUGAAAUGCGUAGAUAUAUGGAAGAACACCAGUGGCGAAAGCGGCUCUCUGGUCUGUAACUGACGCUGAGGUUCGAAAGCGUGGGUAGCAAACAGGAUUAGAUACCCGGGUAGUC
rnacentral:rRNA from 1 species